GAGCUUUUAAGGAAAACACGCACCACAGAAUAACAAUGCGUUGGCUGUUCGUACUGGUAGUGGCGAUAACGCUAGCCACCGCUCUUACACAUCCUGCCCCCGAAUCAAGAAAUAUUCAAGAAAGGCCUCAAGAAAUCAGCAGUCAAGGUCCCUUCCCAAAUGGUUCUUCAGGAAGACUAAGAAGAGGAUUAAGUGUAGUGGCCUGUAUCACAUGCCCUGGGUCUACGAAGUGCCUGAAUGGUUAUAAGUACGUGGCUGGUGUAGGUUGUGUCCAGGUGAAAAAACAUGGGAAG